GUACACUCCUACGGGAGGCAGCAGUGGGGAAUUUUGGACAAUGGGCGAAAGCCUGAUCCAGCAAUGCCGCGUGAGUGAAGAACGCCUUCGGGUUGUAAAGCUCUUUUGUCAGGGAAGAAACGGUGAAAGCUAAUAUCUUUUGCUAAUGACGGUACCUGAAGAAUAAGCACCGGCUAACUACGUGCCAGCAGCCGCGGUAAUACGUAGGGUGCAAGCGUUAAUCGGAAUUACUGGGCGUAAAGCGUGCGCAGGCGGUUUUGUAAGUCUGAUGUGAAAUCCCCGGGCUCAACCUGGGAAUUGCAUUGGAGACUGCAAGGCUAGAAUCUGGCAGAGGGGGGUAGAAUUCCACGUGUAGCAGUGAAAUGCGUAGAUAUGUGGAGGAACACCGAUGGCGAAGGCAGCCCCCUGGGUCAAGAUUGACGCUCAUGCACGAAAGCGUGGGGAGCAAACAGGAUUAGAAACCCUUGUAGUCCCA
rnacentral:rRNA from 1 species